rnacentral:misc_RNA from 1 species
GUAACAAGGUUUCCGUAGGUGAACCUGCGGAAGGAUCAUUACUGAUUUGCUUAAUUGCACCACAUGUGUUUUUCUUUGAAACAAACUUGCUUUGGCGGUGGGCCCAGCCUGCCGCCAGAGGUCUAAACUUACAACCAAUUUUUUAUYAACUUGUCACACCAGAUUAUUACUUAAUAGUCAAAACUUUCAACAACGGAUCUCUUGGUUCUCGCAUCGAUGAAGAACGCAGCGAAAUGCGAUACGUAAUAUGAAUUGCAGAUAUUCGUGAAUCAUCGAAUCUUUGAACGCACAUUGCGCCCUCUGGUAUUCCGGAGGGCAUGCCUGUUUGAGCGUCGUUUCUCCCUCAAACCGCUGGGUUUGGUGUUGAGCAAUACGACUUGGGUUUGCUUGAAAGACGGUAGUGGUAAGGCGGGAUCGCUUUGACAAUGGCUUAGGUCUAACCAAAAACAUUGCUUGCGGCGGUAACGUCCACCACGUAUAUCUUCAAACUUUGACCUCAAAUCAGGUAG